rnacentral:rRNA from 1 species
GAUGAACGCUGGCGGCGUGCCUAAUACAUGCAAGUCGAGCGAACAGACGAGGAGCUUGCUCCUCUGACGUUAGCGGCGGACGGGUGAGUAACACGUGGAUAACCUACCUAUAAGACUGGGAUAACUUCGGGAAACCGGAGCUAAUACCGGAUAAUAUAUUGAACCGGAUGGUUCAAUAGUGAAAGACGGUUUUGCUGUCACUUAUAGAUGGAUCCGCGCCGCAUUAGCUAGUUGGUAAGGUAACGGCUUACCAAGGCAACGAUGCGUAGCCGACCUGAGAGGGUGAUCGGCCACACUGGAACUGAGACACGGUCCAGACUCCUACGGGAGGCAGCAGUAGGGAAUCUUGCGCAAUGGGCGAAAGCCUGACGGAGCAACGCCGCGUGAGUGAUGAAGGUCUUCGGAUCGUAAAACUCUGUUAUUAGGGAAGAACAAAUGUGUAAGUAACUAUGCACGUCUUGACGGUACCUAAUCAGAAAGCCACGGCUAACUACGUG